rnacentral:rRNA from 1 species
GAGAAUUUAGCAGAGAUGCUUUAGUGCCUUCGGGAACUCUGAGACAGGUGCUGCAUGGCUGUCGUCAGCUCGUGUUGUGAAAUGUUGGGUUAAGUCCCGCAACGAGCGCAACCCUUAUCCUUUGUUGCCAGCACGUAAUGGUGGGAACUCAAAGGAGACUGCCGGUGAUAAACCGGAGGAAGGUGGGGAUGACGUCAAGUCAUCAUGGCCCUUACGAGUAGGGCUACACACGUGCUACAAUGGCGCAUACAAAGAGAAGCGACCUCGCGAGAGCAAGCGGACCUCAUAAAGUGCGUCGUAGUCCGGAUUGGAGUCUGCAACUCGACUCCAUGAAGUCGGAAUCGCUAGUAAUCGUAAAUCAGAAUGUUACGGUGAAUACGUUCCCGGGCCUUGUACACACCGCCCGUCACACCAUGGGAGUGGGUUGCAAAAGAAGUAGAUGGCUUAACCUUCGGGAGGGCGUUUACCACUUUGUGAUUCAUGACUGGGGUGAAGUCGUAACAAGGUAGGCGUAGUGCU